rnacentral:lncRNA from 1 species
UCUAAUAUAAUGGUCACAAGGCCACUAUCAUAGCUUUCAUAUAGGAGGUUGGACUCCAGGUAAAUUAGGAAUGACCAGUGGUGAAUCUAGCUUGAAGACUAUGGGUGCAAGUGCACCCACUGUUAUUUAGAUAUUUAGUGUUUUACCUUGAACAUAUAUGGUGAAAGUGGCUUAUUUGGUUAUUAUGCACCCACAAUUAUUCAAGGAUUCCCCUCUUCUUAUUAUCUAUAUUUAUUUUGCACCCAGUGAAGAGAGAGUCUGGCUUCGCCCCUGGGAAUGACAUGGAAGAUUUUGAGCUACUUCGCCAUCUACUCCUACCAUGUAUUAAAUGUAGAUCUUUUGUUUUCUUUUUUUUUUUGGUGAAAGUGAUUGUAUAAUAUUGUAAUGAAACAAAAAUAUUUCCAUAACCCACAAAAGAUAUAAAUCUACUUAUAAGUGUAUAAAUCUUGCAUCCAGUUGCUAGUUUAGAUGCAUAUCUAAAACCACUUUUAUCAACUAAAAAUGUUACAAUGGACAAAC